GGCAUACGAUACAGUUACAGGGAAGGUAAUGACGUUGCUAACGUAAAAUGUUAUUUUCGCGACGUCAAACUGUGACAUAUCGGGAAAAGAUGCAUUUUCCGACUGAUUUUUAUCAUUCAAACUGAUUUAUUUGAAAAACGAGUUCAUGGACCCCUAUUUUUUAAAACAGCAAUUUGUUUCAUUUUGCAAGGAGAUUAUGUGACCCAAAUUUUAUAAAACUGUA
rnacentral:lncRNA from 1 species